UGAGGGAGAGGAAGACUUAUCAAAGUCAGUAGUCUGCAUUGGAAUACCAUCAUCACAAUCUUCUCAGUCAGAUGAUGGAGCUUCAGGCUGCACUAGACCAUUUCUCAUCAAAGACUGCAGGCUCCUGACUUUCCUCUUCUUAGGGCGCACAGAUCUUUUCCUUUUAGCUUGUGCUUGUGCUUGUGCUUCUUGUGGUGUGUGUUGCUGUGAUUCUUGUGCACAUUGUUGUUCCAUUUCACUUGGCAAAGGCAUAAU
rnacentral:lncRNA from 1 species